UUCUCUUUCUCUUAUUCCCCUAUCACCAGCGCCCCCCUAUAAAAAGGGGAGGCUAUCGUUUUCUUAAGAAGACACUAGUUUUUUUACAAAGAAACCUAAAUUGCUUUUGGAUUCUACGCAACUUGUAAGGGAGAAGGCUCCAUCUCUCAUUCUCACGAGAAGAUUUCCCUGAACCCUUUGUCUUUUUACUUAUUUUAUAU
rnacentral:lncRNA from 1 species